UGACUAACUGGGCCAGGAGAAGCUGUC
rnacentral:piRNA from 1 species